UACGAAGGGGGCUAGCAUUGCUCGGAAUCACUGGGCGUAAAGGGUGCGUAGGCGGGUCUUUUAAGCCAGGGGUGAAAUCCUGGAGCUCAACUCCAGAACUGCCUUUGAUACUGAAGAUCUUGAGUUCGGGAGAGGUGAGUGGAACUGCGAGUGUAGAGGUGAAAUUCGUAGAUAUUCGCAAGAACACCAGUGGCGAAGGCGGCUCACUGGCCCGAUACUGACGCUGAGGCACGAAAGCGUGGGGAGCAACAGG
rnacentral:rRNA from 1 species